ACUGGCUGGAAGGGUCAGACAGCAGGAUGGAGGAAGACGACUUCACUGCGUGACCCUGCCCCCCGACAGGCGCAGUACCUCAAACGCAAGCUUGCUGUCACUUUUCACAUCUGUGUGAGCAAUUAUCAGGGGGUGGCCUACAAAAACUCCGCUGAAUGAGAGCGACCCAGAGAAACAAAGCGGAUCGGCCCAGCAGCCGCAGUCCCUGCCCCAGAGCUCCCCGGUUCUAUCUGUCAUCGGGCCACACGGCUGCCAGACAGAACCAAAGCGGUGAGGGAUGAAGGAUAUGAGCCACUCGCCCGGCCCGGCCCGAACCCGGCUCCUGGAAUCCUCGAACGCGGGUCAGGAAGCGGCCUCCUCUUAGAGAAACAUUGCAUGAGCUCUGUGCCAUUCCACCGGGAUCUGGCCCCUCGGAGUAAUUAUCGCACUUGUAGCAGGAACGCUCGCGUGAAAACGGACCCCGCUCCACUCCAGAACCUGGCUGAUGAACGAUGCAGUCGUGCACCAUAAGAAGCUAAUUUUAGAAAGUGUAUUAUUUUAUGUUGUCUUUCAAAUAAUUAAGGGAUAUGCUAAUUAAAUCAUGUUCAAUCUGCGACUCCCAUAGAUGAGCACCUGGAAUUUUGCAUAAAAAGGAAAUUAUUCAAGCCCCUGCAUGCUGAUUCAUGUUCAUAAGCAAGACUGAGAGGUAAAAAUCUGUGCAAAUCACA